CCAAUAUUUCACUUUCAGUUCAGAUCUGACGGGCAGCUUUAAAUGUAAACACAUGAAAUUGUUUUUUGCGUUAUUUUGGCCUGAAGGUGAUUCGUGGUUUUCGGAACUUUUUGUAAUUAAAAGGCUGGAUUUAUGAAGCUGUAAACUGAUCACAGCGAGCGAGAACGCAAAUGGGAGUUCGUGUUCGAGACUUGCGUAUUUCGCCUGAAGCGCUGACCAAAAUAAAAGUGAAACCACCGGAGGAGCAAAAACCAACCGUCUGAUUCUUUGUUCAGCUUAUUCGACCUUUAACUCAAACGGCAAUGGAUUUUGUUCAACUUCAGUGUGGGAUAAGUUGACGGAGGCAUGAUUUAAAGUGUGAAUCGGCUCUGCUGAGAGGUGGCUCAAAUAACAGCCGAGCAGUGACCACAGAUGCUAAUGUUGGGCUUCCUCAACGGCUAAGUUGUUCCAGUCUCGAGUAUGCCAACCACAGAAGCUCACGCAUUUUCUUGGAUAUUUUCAUGGAGUAGAUGUUUACUAUUUAAAAAACUACAGACGUGUUCACCGCUGCUGACCACAUAUUUUCAUGGGACUUCGCACUCAUAAGAAAAUCAUAAAGCAGCUGUCAUAACAAACUUUUAACAAACAUCAAGUAAAGGGACCGGUUCUUCUGUAGCACUUUUCUGCUCGGGCGCAACAUGCCUCAUUCACAGCAGCACAUUUUCCCUACACCUAAAUGCUUUCUAUCACAUUUAUACACAUACACACCGCCCUCCAAGGAACACAUCUUGGGUUCAGCAACUUGCCGAGGGAUACUCUGGCACGCAGGAAUUGAAACACCAACCUUCUGAUUAGUAGAUGGCCCGCUCUCCCUCCUGAGAUGCAGUCAACCUGGCCUCUGUUUGAUAUGUGUAUUAUGUAGUUAGUUUGUUACGUGACAACAUCACACUGCCACGUAAAGCCAGUUUUUUAAGCAAAAAAAGUAUGUUAUGUAAAGUAUGUAAAAAAA